rnacentral:rRNA from 1 species
GACGAACGCUGGCGGCGUGCUUAACACAUGCAAGUCGAACGGAAAGGCCCUGCUUUUGUGGGGUGCUCGAGUGGCGAACGGGUGAGUAACACGUGAGUAACCUGCCCUUGACUUUGGGAUAACUUCAGGAAACUGGGGCUAAUACCGGAUAGGAGCUCCUGCUGCAUGGUGGGGGUUGGAAAGUUUCGGCGGUUGGGGAUGGACUCGCGGCUUAUCAGCUUGUUGGUGGGGUAGUUGCUUACCAAGGCUUUGACGGGUAGCCGGCCUGAGAGGGUGACCGGCCACAUUGGGACUGAGAUCCGGCCCAGACUCCUACGGGAGGCAGCAGUGGGGAAUAUUGCACAAUGGGCGGAAGCCUGAUGCAGCACCGCCGCGUGCGGGAUGACGGCCUUCGGGUUGUAAACCGCUUUCGCCUGUGACGAAGCGUGAGUGACGGUAAUGGGUAAAGAAGCACCGGCUAACUACGUG